UACAGAGGAGCCAAGCGUUGUCCGGAUUGACUGGGCGUAAAGCGCACGCAGGCGGACGCGCGCGUGGGUGUGAAAUCUGGCCGCUUAACGCCAGGCGCCAUCCCAUACGGCGCGACUGGAGUGAUGCAGAGGUCGAUGGAAUUGCCGGUGUAGUGGUGAAAUGCGUAGAGAUCGGCAGGAACACCCAGGGGGAAACCAGUCGACUGGCAUCGUACUGACGCUGAGGUGCGAGAGCGUGGGAGCGA
rnacentral:rRNA from 1 species